UCACCCAUUCCUUCUCUCCAGCGAUGCUGCCUGUCCCGCUGAGUUACUCCAGCAUUUUGUGUCUAAAUUUGGAGACUGG